UUAAAGGAAACAAUUAAUCGUUA
rnacentral:miRNA from 1 species